rnacentral:rRNA from 1 species
GAUGAACGCUGGCGGCGUGCCUAAUACAUGCAAGUCGAGCGAACGGACGAGAAGCUUGCUUUUCUGAUGUUAGCGGCGGACGGGUGAGUAACACGUGGAUAACCUACCUAUAAGACUGGUAUAACUUCGGGAAACCGGAGCUAAUACCGGAUAAUAUUUUGAACCGCAUGGUUCAAAAGUGAAAGACGGUCUUGCUGUCACUUAUAGAGGGAUCUGCGCUGCAUUGGCUAGUUGUGAAGGUAACGGGUUACCAAGGCAACGAUGCAUAGCCGACCUGAGAGGGUGAUAGGCCACACUGGAACUGAGCCACGGUCCAGACUCCUACGGGAGGCAGCAGUAGGGAAUCUUCCGCAAUGGGCGAAAGCCUGACGGAGCAACGCCGAGUGAGUGAUGAAGGUCUUCGGAUCGUAAAACUCUGUUAUUAGGGAAGAACAUAUGUGUAAGUAACUGUGCACAUCUUGACGGUACCUAAUCAGAAAGCCACGGCUAACUACGUG